GAUCCUGGUUCCAAUCCAGUGGUCUGAGUGCUAGCUGUGCCACUAGAGAUCCUGGAUCCAAUCCAGUGGUCUAAGGCAGUGCUAGCUGUGCCACUAGAGAUCCUGGAUCCAAUCCAGUGGUCUAAGGCAGUGCUAACUGUGCCACUAGAGAUCCUGGUUCCAAUCCAAUGGUCUAAGGCAGUGCUAGCUGUGCCACUAGAGAUCCUGGUUCCAAUCCAGUGCUUGCUGUGCCACUAGAGAUCCUGGUUCCAAUCUAGUGGUCUAAGGCAGUGCUAACUGUGCCGCUAAAGAUCCUCGUUCCAAUCCAGUGGUCUAAGGCAGUGCUUGCUGUGCCACUAGAGAUCCUGGUUCCAAUCCAGUGCUAGCUGUGCCACUAUAGAUUCUGGUUCCAAUCCAGUCGUUUAAGGCAGUGCUAGCUGUGCCACUAGAGAUCCUGGUUCCAAUCCAGUGCUAGCUGUGCCACUAGAGAUCCUGGUUCCAAUCCAAUGGUCUAAGGCAGUGCUAGCUGUGCCGCUAGAGAUCCUGGUUCCAAUCCAGUGGUCUAAGGCAGUGCUAGCUGUGCCACUAGAGAUCCUGGUUCCAAUCCAGUGCUUGCUGUGCCACUAUAGAUUCUGGUUCCAAUCCAGUCGUCUAAGGCAGUGCUAGCUGUGCCACUAGAGAUCCUGGUUCCAAUCCAGUGCUUGCUGUGCCACUAUAGAUUCUGGUUCCAAUCCAGUGGUCUAAGGCAGUGCUAGCUGUGCCACUAGAGAUCCUGGUUCCAAUCCAGUGGUCUAAGGCAGUGCUAGCUGUGCCACUAGAGAUCCUGGUUCCAAUCUAGUGCUAGCUGUGCCACUAGAGAUCCUGGUUCCAAUCCAGUGGUCUAAGGCAGUGCUAGCUGUGCCACUAGAGAUCCUGGUUCCAAUCCAGUGCUAGCUGUGCCACUAUAGAUUCUGGUUCCAAUCCAGUCGUCUAAGGCAGUGCUAGCUGUGCCACUAGAGAUCCUGGUUCCAAUCCAGUGGUCUAAGGCAGUGCUAGCUGUGCCACUAGCGAUCCUGGUUCCAAUCCAAGUUCCGGCCGCCACAGGGAGACCCAUGGGGCGGCGCACAAUUGGCCCAGCUAUGCCCGGGUUAGGGGAGGGUUUGGCUGGCCGGGAUGUCCUUGUCCCAUCGCGCUCUAGCAACUUCUGUGGCGGGCAAUGCACACUGACACGGUUGCUAGGUGUACUGUAUUUCCUCCGACACAUUGGUGCGGCUGGCUUCUGGGUUAAGAGGUCAUUGUAUCAAGAUGCAGUGCGGCUUGGCUGGGUCAUGUUUCGGAGGACGCACGGCUCUCGACCUUCGCCUCUCCCGAGUCUGUACUGGAGUUGCAG
rnacentral:lncRNA from 1 species